CUGCUGGAUUUUGCAGGUCACAGAGGCUGGAGUCCUGGCCAGCAACUCAAAACCAGACUCCUCCACAGGUCUGGCCUCGCUGACUUUUAGUCUCUGAGGAGCCAGCCUCUGCACCAUAGGGGUGACAAUAGAGUCUUCGUGGCCAAAUAAAAGCGAUCCAGGGUCUCUGCUUUCCCUGAGAAAACUCCAUCCAAGGAGACUGCAAGAGCAGUGUGUUCGCAUCCAGAAUUUGCAGCUACUCUGGAAAAAAGAAGAGAAACCAACCCAAACCCAACCAAAACUACAAAAAUACAUGAAAUCCUUACAGCAAAAAUGAUGGGCAUUUCUGAUUAGAGAUACUGAAUGAAGAGUAGUGCUGUCCCUGAAAUCACGUCUGGAUCACCCCUCUCAGUUGAUGCUGCUAACCUUGGAGACUGAAGGAAAUUUGGAAAAGGGAACUGAAGUCUCACAAUUUGGAAGUCUCCCUUGAAAGAAGUGUUGAGGACAGGUUUACCUUUUGCUCACAUAGAGAAUCUCAUCUAGAAUAAGGAGUCUCUCAUCUCCAGGAUAAGAUCCAGGGUGAUGUCCAUCGCACUUUAUGUACACAUUGGAGUUUCCAUUAAGGGCUUGGUGAACCAGCUAUACAUUCAACCUUGUGGAUAUACUUCUAUAGCUACUUGAACCACAGGAUUCCAGAGCCGACAACUUUCAGGAUCUAAGAAAUGGUGACCACCAAAAGCCUUAUUGUGAUCCUAAAACAGAACACUGGCACCUGGGUGAUUCAAAAGGGAAGAUUUAUUGCUCACAGUGUGAGAUUCUGGACAGACCACUAAGAACCCACAUAUAAUGAGAGCAUUCUUACUAUAUCUGAUGCCAGAAGACUAAAUGGGAAGAAAAUUCAUGGAGGAUCAAGAGCGAGGGAAACUGACUUUUUAAAAAAAAAUAACUCAACAGCUCCCACAACAAAAAUUAGGAUUAUAGAAGCCUUUGUUCUCAAGGUUAAUCACCUCUCCAAUCUGCCUCAUUUUAACAAUCCUUCAUUGGUGAUUAAUAUCUAACACCUGCUUGCCAAGGGCAUGUUCUGCUGUGGAUAUCUGUAUGCUAUGAAUGUGUUGCUCUGAUUGGUUAAUAAAUAAAGUGCUGAUUGGCCAGUAGCUAGGCAGGAAGUAUAGGUGGGACAAAGAAGAGAAUUCUGAGAAG